GACCCACGUUUGAAAUGCGAAGCUUUUCCGCCUAAUUUCAAAUGCAUGGAGAAUCUGGAAAUGUUCAAGGUGAAAUCGGAACAAGGAAGAACAACACAAACGAAAAAUAAAGCGAAACAAAUUCGACAACAAGAUUCCGUCAGCAGUUUGUUAACCUGACUUAUCGGUGCAAUGCUGCAAACGAAUAAAAGUUUAGAAAGCUAUAAAAACAAAACAAAAAAAGUAAAAAAAAAAAAACGAUCAUGAUUGAAAGAGACUAUUCUAUCGAGCCAGAAGGAUCGAACAAGAGAGCAUAAAAAUAAAAAAAAGAAUGGCCGGUGAUUGAAACCAGUCUCGCUCUAUUUGCAACAAACGGUCAAAUAGUAGGCGAUAGAUAUCGAUAAGAUCCAGUAGGAGGCAUUCGUGCAAACACGGAGUCUAUAGCCGAAGGGAUCGUGUUUGCCACCCUUUAUCUGACCGCCAUAACUAAAAAGAAAAACCUUUUGUCGCUAUGGUGAUCCAAUCGAUUCAUACCGUACGUAACAGUUGGAACGGUAUAAAUAAAGACCAGUUACACCACCAUCAAAGAACAUAUAAAAAAUAAGUAAUCAACACAAGCGUCGAUACAUGUUGUACCCGACUUGAUUGAUGGCCAGCAAACGUGUGUCAAUUCAAUCUUCGCAUCCCUCUUCACACACAGACGCACUUCAAGUGUUUCUCUUUGCCGCUUUUCUAACCCGACUUGAUUGAACGACUUGUCCACGUCUAUUGAACCGAAAUAAAAUAAUAGUACUAUUUUAAAAAAAGAAAAACAAAAUGAGGUCAA